UACGGAGGGUGCGAGCGUUGUCCGGAAUCAUUGGGCGUAAAGGGCGCGUAGGUGGCGCGGUAAGCGUGCGGUGAAAGCCUGGGGCUCAACCCCGGGUCGGCCGUGCGAACUGCUGGGCUUGAGCACUGUAGAGGCAGGCGGAAUUCCGGGUGUAGCGGUGGAAUGCGUAGAUAUCUGGAGGAACACCGGUGGCGAAGGCGGCAUCCUGGACCAAUAUUGACGCUGAGGAGCGAAAGCCAGGGGAGCAAACGGG
rnacentral:rRNA from 1 species